GCGCUCAUUUCAGCAACCCAUAAACUAAAAUUGGAACAAUACAGAGAAGGUUAGUGUGGCCUCUGCGCGAGGAUGACAUGUUCCUUAUUUUU
rnacentral:snRNA from 1 species